AUUGAACGCUGGCGGCAGGCCUAACACAUGCAAGUCGAGCGGAUGAAGGGAGCUUGCUCCUGGAUUCAGCGGCGGACGGGUGAGUAAUGCCUAGGAAUCUGCCUGGUAGUGGGGGAUAACGUCCGGAAACGGGCGCUAAUACCGCAUACGUCCUGAGGGAGAAAGUGGGGGAUCUUCGGACCUCACGCUAUCAGAUGAGCCUAGGUCGGAUUAGCUAGUUGGUGGGGUAAAGGCCUACCAAGGCGACGAUCCGUAACUGGUCUGAGAGGAUGAUCAGUCACACUGGAACUGAGACACGGUCCAUACUCCUACGGGAGGCAGCAGUGGGGAAUAUUGGACAAUGGGCGAAAGCCUGAUCCAGCCAUGCCGCGUGUGUGAAGAAGGUCUUCGGAUUGUGAAGCACUUUAAGUUGGGAGGAAGGGCGGUAAGUUAAUACCUUGCUGUUUUGACGUUACCAACAGAAUAAGCACCGGCUAACUUCGUG
rnacentral:rRNA from 1 species